UGCGGCCGACUAAUUUUAAAAGAAAUCCAAAAAAAGUAUGUUAUUAGAUAAUUGUCUUUAUCUUAAAUAAAUGCAAAACCGACAAAAAGUCAUCAAUGACAUAUGGUGUGGACUUUGGACUGUAUUCAGUGCAGAACAACCAAAUUAAUUGAUCUUAUUGUAUUAAUCAUCUUCCCCUACUAAUUUCUUUCAUCCACCAAUUAUCACUCUACACAAAAAUGGCUACAAUUACAUCCAUAAUUCUCUUCACCUUGUUGACACUCUUUUUCAUAUUGGNUAAUUUCUUUCAUCCACCAAUUAUCACUCUACACAAAAAUGGCUACAAUUACAUCCAUAAUUCUCUUCACCUUGUUGACACUCUUUUUCAUAUUGGCAUGGAGGAUUUUGAAUUGGUUAUGGUUGAAGCCAAAGAAGCUAGAGAAAUUCCUAAGAGAACAAGGACUAAAAGGGAAUUCAUAUAGGCUUUUAGUUGGAGACAUGAAUGAUCUUCUUAAGAUGAGAAAGGAAGCAACAUCUAAACCUAUGAAUCUUUCUGAUGAUAUUGUUCCUCGUGUGUUUUCCUUUGUCCAACAAAGUGUUGCAAAACAUGGUAUGUCUCUCUUCUUACUCCUCUUUUUAAUUUCUAGUUUUACUAUAUUUAUAUAAUGAAGAAUAACAAUAAAGUACUAGUUUAGUUUCCCUCAACUAUACUAGUUAGUAAUAAAAAAAUCAAUUUGUAAAAUUCUAUAAAAAUAAUAGAAUUUUUUUUUUUUUUAGAUUAACAGUGAGGAGUGUAAAGUGAGGGAAGGUCUGACAAUAUUUUUACUUAAGUACAGACAAUCUCCAUCUCAUAAACCAACUUUGUAAGGAUGAUUUAAACUCAAUUUUAAAAUGGUAUUAGAGUCUAUGGAUUCGGGACACCCAACAUUUAUACACAAACCAAGCCCAAAAGUGAUGGAAGUGAGGGGUGUGUUGGGAAAAACUUAAAUCCCACAUUGAAAAGAUAAGAAUUAUGAUAAGAGUUUAUAAAAAGAGGCACCCCUCACCUUACAAGCCAGUUUAUAAGGUUGAGUUAGGGUCAAUAUCAAAAUAUAAAAUGGCAUUAGAGUUUCAAAAUCUAACAUGGUAUCAUAGUUUAUCAAUUCGCGCCACCCACCAUUUAUACACGCACCAAACCGAAUAGUGUUGUGUCGGGGCCAACCACAAUUUCUAACAUGGCAUCAGAGCCUCCAAAAGGUUUCCGCCAUCAAAUUACAAAUUGCAUUGCAUUCAACUAUCUACUAGUUGACAACCAUCCUAUUUCCUAAUUGACUUCCCUGUUAUUUCCAACUGAGUAAUUUUGUUGGUUACUCUCAUUGUAAUUCUCUGUAUCAGCUUCCACCACUUAAAGUUAAGGAGUGGAUCAAGAACCAAAUUUUUUGAUUAAAGCCAAUAUAAAUACCAACACAUAAAUUGCACUUACUGACUGAUACUAAACUGACAUUAUCAGGAUAUAAUUUCCUCUUAAAUUGAUAGCAUGUUUUUAUAAAAUAGUAUUCUGAUCCAAAUUUACUCCCUCCGGUCACAUUUAUAAGCAAAAAACAACUUUUUAGGUUCAUUCAAUAAUUAAUGUAUCUGACCUUUAUAUAGACUAGAUACAUUAGUUAUUCAAUAAACCUAAACAAUUUUUUUUGCUUAUAAAUGUGACCAGAAAGAAUGUAGUUAAUACUUAUUUCUUUGAAAUGAAUGACAUCGGUUUAUCAAACUUUGAUGUUAAUCAUUAAGAUUCAUAGUCUUCAUGAUUGUGAUUUUGAUCACUGAUCAUGCUGGGCAGUAGGCUCAAAACAUUACAACAUUGCUAUUCCUUCCAAUAUGUUACUAGCCUGAAUUAAAAUGAUAUUACUUCCUUGUUUGUUCAUGAGGUGUCAGUUCAGUGAAAAGAGUUUGAUUAUGUGGUCUAUUGCUUCGCUAUGGCGGGUUAUGACUUCACAAAUUGGCUAUGGCAUUCAUAAAAAAACCAGCCACACCAUUUGGCCAUCGCCGCCAUUUAACAACACUGUAUGUUUUACAAUACUAUCCUGCACCUUGUUCACUUUGGUGAUUUUUCAAAUUGGCAAUAAUACCUAAAUAUAUAAUAUAAACACUUAAAGUUCUGUAUUCAAAGAUUCCGGAAGCAAAUAGUACACUAUAAUAAGUUGCUAAUUCUCAUCAAUUCUUGAUAUUUAUAUACUUUUUUCAUAUCUUCGGCGUGCAGGAAAGAACUCUUUUAUCUGGUUUGGACCAACACCAAGGGUGAACAUAACAGAUCCUGAUAUGAUUAGAGAUGUAUUUAACAAAAUGUACGACUUCCAAAAGCCUAAUGCGAAUCCGCUUGGAAAGUUACUAGCUAAUGGCCUUGCAAGUCAUGAGGGAGAACAGUGGAGCAAGCACAGAAAGAUUAUCAACCCUGCAUUCCAUGUAGAAAAAUUGAAGGAAAGUUUCCCUUUACUAGAUAUAGAAUCCAAUUGUGUUUAUCUAGUCCGCAACAUAUAAUUGUUCAAGCAUCACAAUUAGGUUUAUAAGAAAACAUGAUUUGAAUUCUUAAUGCACAUGUGCUUAGUUUAACACCUCUUUGUCUCUUACAAACAGAUCAUGUUACCAAUAUACCUCAAAAGAUGCGAUGAUCUGAUUAGCAAAUGGGAGAAAAUGUUGGCUUCAGAUGGAUCAUGUGAAAUGGAAGUAUGGCCUUUCCUUCAAAAUUUAGCAAGAGAUGUUAUUUCUCGAGCUGCAUUUGGAAGUAGUUAUGAAGAGGGAAAAAGAAUAUUUCAACUUCAAACCGAACAAGCCAAACUUACAAUGUCAAUUAUGACAAAAGUUUACAUCCCUGGAUGGAGGUAAGAUUAAUAUUUAUAUCACAAGUUGAAUUAGAAAAAGCUAUAUUUUGGAUAAAACUAAGCACUAGAUUAUAGUGAUACAGUAAAUGGAAAUUUGGAUCCUCUAAAAUUAAGUUAAAAUAAAGUAAGAAAACCAAAAAAAAAUAUUUCAACGCAUGUCACAUGGUUUGUUAUACUUGUGCUUGUAAUAACAACCAUUGAUUAAUUAAUCAAUGGUUUAUAGUAUUGAAUACUCUAAAGUGAAUUGUUCACUUUGGAAGAGUAAGAUCAAAGAAAUAGCAUUCAAUUCAGAUCAUUUGAAUUACAUAAAAAUUAUGUUUAUUUUGAAGGUUUCUACCAACUACUACACAUAGGAGAAUGAAAGAAAUUGAAAGAGACGUAAAAGCAUCGCUUACAGAUAUAAUUAACAAGAGAGAAAGAGCACUAAAAGCAGGUAAAGCAACUAAGGAUGACUUAUUAGGUAUACUUUUAGAGUCAAAUCAAAAAGAAAUGGAAGAACAAGGCAACAAUAAGAAUGUUGGAAUGAGUCUUGAUGAUGUAAUAGAGGAAUGCAAGCUCUUCUACUUUGCAGGACAAGAGACCACUUCUGUUUUGCUUGUUUGGACAAUGGUGUUGUUGAGUAGGUAACCAGAUUGGCAAGAACGUGCAAGGGAAGAAGUAUUACAAGUAUUUGGCAACAAUAAACCAGAAUUUGACGGGCUAAGUCAUCUUAAGAUCGUAAGUAUUAUGUACUUCCCUUCAUGUUAAACAAUAUAUGCCGUCAUACUUAACAUUGAUGUAACUCUUUUUGAUACAGGUCACUAUGAUUUUGUACGAGGUUCUUAGGUUAUACCCACCAGAAAUCGCGCUUACUCGAAGUGAUCACAAAGAUAUGACACUUGGAAACCUAACAUUACCUGCAGGAGUGCAGGUUUUCUUAUCGAUAAUUUUGGUUCACCAUGACAUAGAACUAUGGGGUGAAGAUGCUAAGGUGUUCAAUCCCGAGAGAUUUUCAGAAGGUGUUUUAAAAGCAACAAAUGGAAGAAAUUCAUUUAUUCCAUUUGAAGGGGGUCCUAGAAUUUGAAUUGGACAAAACUUUUCCAUGUUGGAAGCAAAGAUGGCAAUAGCAAUGAUUUUACAACGUUUCUCAUUUGAACUUUCUCCAUCUUAUGCUCAUGCCCCGGCUACGGUAAUUACGCUUCAGCCACAAUAUGGUGCUCAUAUAAUUCUACGUAAAGUGGAAUUGUAAAAUUUAUAAUUUGCUUAUUCCACUAUUAGAAUGCUUGUAAUGAUGCUUAUAAAAAAAAUAAAAAAUCCUAUGAUGUAAAAUAGAAAGCUCAUAGUAUAAUAAAAGAAUAUUUGUUCUGAGAUAUCAACCCUUUAAGUGGAUCCCUAUACCUACCCUGCAGGAAGCCAUAUUGUUUAUGUACAGGUUGGAAAUUGGCAUGUAUGAUGUAAGUGUUCUUCCCAAACAAAAAGUUGUCUAUGCCAAGUUAAGUUCCACUCCCUUGAAAUAAUGUUUCCCUCCAUCAGUUCUCCCACACCAGCCUCUCGACUGUUCCCUACCCUUCUCAAAACCUACGGAUUAAACCAACCUUGCCCACCAAACAUAUCAAAAUUAACAAUAUUUUUCCACUACCUUGAUGUAUGUCUCGGCCACUCCACAUCUCCACCUCCAUCCACCUCAUCACUCCAAAACCAUAUUUCUCUAUUAGCGCAUCUUUCCAAAGAGCCCCUUCCCGUCCAAUAACAUUCAUCUCCAUUUAGCCAAUAAACUUACAUUAACCACCCGGAUAUCACUCACUCUAAGAUCUCCAUUCUCCUUCCUUUGACACACCGACUUCAAUUUGACCCAACUAAUUUUCCUACCUCCUCCCACACCACUCCAAAAAAACUCUCUUUGGAUCCUAACAAACUUUUUCCACACCGCUACAUGCAUCUUCAAAAAUAAUAAAAAGAAGAUAGGUAUUGAAUUCAAUACGGAAUUAAUAAGAACAACUCUACCUCGAAGACUGAUAUAUUUGUGCCCCCACGAAUUCAACUUUCGGUUUAGAAGAUCCAAUAUUGGUUUUCAUUGUUGUCAAAAUCCUGAUUUAAAUUCUAAAAUCUAGGAUUUUUCGACUUUCUUCGCCUUCAACGACUCAAAUCCAUAGUAGAAUCUCAAAAUAGACAAAAUCCAUCGAUUUUGAUUGCAAUUUUACGAUUUCUUAUAAACUAAGUCAUUUAUUACUAUAUACCAUUUAUAACAGGCUUAAAUGUGAAAAUAGUCCCUGCAAAUAUCUGACAUUUUGGUUUUAGUCCCUGUAAAAGUAUUUUUUUGAUUUUAGUCCCUGUAAAAACAAAAAUUUGGUUUUGGUCCUUGGUAUUUUGUUUUAGUCCUUGUAAAAUUGAUUCAUAUUGGAUUUGGUCCUUGUAAUAUGUAGAAUAUUUGAUUUUAGUCCCUCAAAAUGAGGACUAAAAUGAAUAUUAUAAGCACCAAUUUCAAUAUGAAAUGAUUUUACAAGGAUUAAAACAAAAUAACAAAGACCAAAACCAAAAAUUCUAUAUUUGCAGGGACUAAAACCAAAAAAAUAUUUUUACAGGGACUAAAACCAAAAUGUCAGAUAUUUGCCGGGACCAUUUCCAUAUUUAAGCCUUUAUAACAUAUAUUUAGUAUUAAUUUUUUGGGGUAAAAUCCAUCUAUUUUGAUUGCGAUUUUACAAUUUCCUAUAUCGAUUCUAUAAAAGUCCUUGAGUAAAAUCAUUCGAUUUUGAUUGCGAUUUUAUGAGUCCCGAUUUUUCUAUUGCUUUUCGACCUGAAGUAAUGUCCCGAUUUUGACAACCUUACCGGUUCCCACGUUAACAUACUCUUGCCUUUGCACCCACUGGUAACCAAAAGUACUUAAAAGGAAUACUACCUUGACUACAAUUCAAGAACGUGCACACCAUAUCCAUAAACUCCAACACUACAUUAACCCCUAUCAAACAACUCUUUGAAAAAUUGAUCUUCAACCCGGACGCCAUCUCAAAACCUUUCAAACGAGCUUUUAGAGUCCAAAGAUUGUUCAUUGUUGCCUUCCCAAUACAAAGAGUGUCAUCCGCAUACUGGAAAUGAGACACCUCUACAUUUUCACUAGAAAACUGAAAGUCUUCAAACAUGUUUAGAGAUACUACAUUCUGCAUCAACCCGCUAAAACCUUCCGCCACGAAUAAAAACAAAAAAGGUGCUAGCAGAUCUCCUUGUUUAAGCCCCUUUUCAAUACUAAUUUCGUCUGUUGGACUACCAUUAACAAGAAUUGACAUGCUCCCACCCACACACACCUUCGUCCAAGCCAUUCAUUUUGAACAAAAACCUACUCUCCUCAACAUAUACUCCAAAAAUCCCCAACCCACCGAGUCAUAAGCCUUCUCAAAAUCAACCUUUAGAAUCAAACAUUCUCGGUACAUUUUCUUAGCAUAAUCCACGAAUUCAAUUAGAGUUUAAUGAUUUCGUCGUGGUUUUAAAUUGCGGUUUCGGUCUUGGUCGUUGCAAUUGUGGACAGUAGGUUUCGGAUGCCGUUGCAGAGGCUAUCACAACGACGAUAUUGUGGCCGUAGUUGCGGAUGCCGUCCGAAAUUGUGGUUGUCGCUGCUCUCACCAGGAAUCUAACCAGAUGAUUUCCACCGGAAUGGGCAAACCUCAGUGAUUUUUGUUAAAUCCUAAGAAGGUAUUAUUUUGUAUGCUUUAUGUCUCGGUCAUUAUGUGCCAUCUUCACUCUCAUUUCUAUGCAUAUAAACACAGUGGCUUGAAUUAAUAUUUUUCUAAAGCAUAUAAUAAAGUAUUAAAAAGUUAGGUCAUAAUAUUAAUAGUGCUACUAAUAUGAAAUGUGAAACCAACAAAAUUCUUAGUCAAGGACAUGUGUCGUAACGUCAAAAGAAAAGGACAUGUGUCGUGGACUUUAUAAAGUGCAGCAUAUCAAAUCAAAUCAUACUUCUUUCCUUCUCACCGAAAUCUCUUCUUCUUUUAUCAUCUUCUCCUACUUUCUUUUUUCCACCAAUUAUUACUCUACACAGAAAUGGCUACAACUACAGCAAUAAUUCUCUUCACCUUGAUGACACUUUCUCUCAUAUGGGCAUGGAGAAUUUUGAAUUGGAUAUGGUUGAAGCCAAAAAAGCUAGAAAAAGAGCUCAGAGAACAAGGACUUAAAGGAAAUUCAUACAGACUUUUAGUUGGAGACAUAAAAGAUCUUCUUAAGAUAAGAAAGGAAGCAACAUCUAAACCUAUGAAUCUUUCUGAUGAUAUUGUGCCUCGAGUGUAUUCCUUUGUCCAACAAACUGUUGCAAAACAUGGUAUGUCCCUUUUUAUACAAAC
rnacentral:lncRNA from 1 species